rnacentral:tRNA from 1 species
GGAGGUGUGGCUCAGUGGUAGAGCACAGGCUUAGCAGGCAGGAGGCCCCGGGUUCCAUCCCCAGCACCGACA